rnacentral:tRNA from 1 species
GGAGAAAUGGCUGAGCGGUCUAAAGCGGCACCCUGCUAAGGUGUUAGUCAUGUUAUGUGGCUCGAAGGUUCGAAUCCUUCUUUCUCCG